UACGUAGGGUCCGAGCGUUGUCCGGAAUUACUGGGCGUAAAGAGCUCGUAGGUGGUUUGUCGCGUUGUUCGUGAAAACUCACAGCUCAACUGUGGGCGUGCGGGCGAUACGGGCAGACUAGAGUACUGCAGGGGGAGACUGGAAUUCCUGGUGUAGCGGUGGAAAUGCGCAGAUAUCAGGAGGAACACCGGUGGCGAAGGCGGGUCUCUGGGCCAUUACUGACGCUGAGGAGCGAAAGCGUGGGGAGCGAACAGG
rnacentral:rRNA from 1 species